rnacentral:rRNA from 1 species
GUGCCAGCCGCCGCGGUAAUACGGAGGGUGCAAGCGUUACUCGGAAUUACUGGGCGUAAAGAGCGUGUAGGCGGGUUAAUAAGUCAGAUGUGAAAGCCUGUGGCUCAACCAUAGAACUGCAUUUGAAACUGUUAACCUAGAAUAUGGGAGAGGUAGAUGGAAUUUCUGGUGUAGGGGUAAAAUCCGUAGAGAUCAGAAGGAAUACCGAUUGCGAAGGCGAUCUACUGGAACAUUAUUGACGCUGAGACGCGAAAGCGUGGGGAGCAAACAGGAUUAGAUACCCCGGUAGUCC